UUUGUAAAUGGCCGCAGUAUUUUGACUGUGCUAAGGUAGCAUAAUCAUUAGUCUUUUAAUUGGAGGCUGGUAUGAACGGUGAGACGAGAAAAAAUCUGUCUCUAGAGCAUAAAUUGAAUUUUAUUUUUAAGUGAAAAAGCUUAAAUAUAUUUGGGGGACGAUCAGACCCUCUGGAGCUUUAUUUUCUUCUUUUUUGGGGUAAUUUUUUAUACUUGAAAAUUAAAGUUAAUUUUGUUGGGGCGACAGGAAGUUUUAAGUAACACUUUUUUAAAUUAACACUUAUAAGUGAAUUAUUGAUCCUUGUAGAUAGAUUAAAAGAUUAAGUUACCCUAGGGAUAACAGCGUAAUCUUUUUGGAGAGUUCUAAUCGAUAAAAAGGUUUGCGACCUCGAUGUUGGAUUAAGAAAUUAGCAAGGUGCAGAAGUUUUGCUGGAGAGUCUGUUCGACUUUUAAUUUCUUACA
rnacentral:rRNA from 1 species